GAUGAACGCUGGCGGCGUGCCUAAUACAUGCAAGUCGAGCGAACGGACGAGAAGCUUGCUUCCUUGAUGUUAGCGGCGGACGGGUGAGUAACACGUGGAUAACCUACUUAUCUGACUGGGAUAACUUCGUGAAACCGUAGCUAAUACCGGAUAAUAUUUUGAACCGCAUGGUUCAAAAGUGAAUGACGGUCUUGCUGUCUCUUAUAGAUGGAUCCGCGCUGCAUUAGCUAGUUGGUAAGGUAACGGCUUACCAAGGCAACGAUGCAUAGCCGACCUGAGAGGGUGAUCGGCCACACGGGAACUGAGACACGGUCCAGACUCCUACGGGAGGCAGCAGUAGGGAAUCUUCCGCAAUGGGCGAAAGCCUGACGGAGCAACGCCGCGUGAGUGAUGAAGGUCUUCGGAUCGUAAAACUCUGUUAUUAGGGAAGAACAGAUGUGUAAGUAACUGUGCACAUCUUGACGGUACCUAAUCAGAAAGCCACGGCUAACUACGUG
rnacentral:rRNA from 1 species